AAAAGUUCUCUCUUAGACACAAGGGGGCAGGUCUCUGGGAGGAGUCACAGAGUCCCGCCCCUAUCCUUCGGGACCCGACUGGCUAGGCUGCCUAGCAGAGAGCCGGCUCCAAAAGCAGAGCUGACAGUGGCCUGGUGGGCCGGUAGAGGACAGCACCAGUAAAGCAGCUGACAUUGGCCAGGUGUGUGAUUCCCCACUGCCCCUCACCUGCCAUGGCUGCAUCCGGAAAGAUGUCUCCGAGUCACUGCCUCCUCUAUCUUCUGGUACCUGAAUUUCUGGAGGGAAGAGUUCAGCCCCGGGGAGGUCAAGGGAACCCAAAGUUGUUCAUUUGCCAAGUGGCUACCACACUUCAAAGAAUGUUAAAGUUAAACCCUUGCAUAUACACAGAACAAUAGCAACUACUGUGUGCUAUGCUCCUGACAUUCAACCAACACGUCACCCCUGGAGCACACAGUAGG
rnacentral:lncRNA from 1 species